ACUUGGAUAACCCUGCUAAUUGUAGAGCUAAUACAUGCACGAAUUCCUGACAGGAAGGGAUGGGGCAACUCAUUUUGACUUGAAGGGAAGCACUUGUUAGCCAGGCAAGCCAAUGCGGGAGCAAUCCCGGAGGAUGGCGAGUCAUAACAAUUGAGCGAAUCGCAAGCCCUUGAGGCGGCGAUGCACCAUUCAAAUUUCUGCCCUAUCAACUUUCGAUGGUAGGAUCGGGGCCUACCAUGGUCGUAACGGGUAACGGGGAAUUAGGGUUUGAUUCCGGAGAGGGAGCUCGAGAAACGGCUACCACUUCCAAGGAAGGCAGCAGGCGCGCAAAUUACCCACUGGCGACACGCCGAGGUAGUGACAACAAAUAAGUAGGUAGGUCUCAUUAGGGAUUUGCCAUACGAAUGAGUACAAUUUAAACCCCUUAACGAAAGCCACUGGAGGGCAAGUCUGGUGCCAGCAGCCGCGGUAAUUCCAGCUCCAGUAGCGUAUAUUAAAGCUGUUGCGGUUAAAAAGCUCGUAGUCGGAACUGAAGACUGUCAGAAGACUGGUCCAUGCAUAGUCAUGAGUACUGGUCAUCGAGUCUUUAUAAACUUCUGGAUGCCUGCUCCUGCUCUUUAUUGAGUGGAAGUAACAAGCAAGCUGUGUUGGCAACAAUGCAGAUUGUGAAGGUUCCAGAUCGAUUACUUUGAGAAAAUUAGAGUGUUCAAAGCAGGCGGUCACGCCUUGAAUACAUUAGCAUGGGAUAAUGCCAUGGGACUCUGAGCCCAUUUCGUUGGUUUCUGGGAAUGGAGUCACGAUCAACAGGGACAGUUGGGGUGAUUCAUUUUUUGCCGACAGGGGUGAAAUCCUAUGACCGGCGAAAGAUGAACUAGUGCGAAAGCAUCUCACAAGGAUGUUUUCAUUGAUCAAGAACGAAAGUUGAGGGAUCGAAGGCGAUCAGAUACCGCCCUAGUCUCAACCAUAAACCAUGCCGACCAGGGAUCGGGAGACGUUCAAAUUAUACGACUCCCCCGGCACCUUGUGAGAAAUCACAAGUCUUUGGGCUUCGGGGGGAGUAUGGUCGCAAGGCUGAAACUUAAAGGAAUUGACGGAACGACACCACCAGGAGUGGAGCCUGCGGCUUAAUUCGACCCAACACGGGAAAACUCACCAGGUCCAGACAGCGGAAGGAUGUACAGACUUGCAGAUCUUUAUAGAUUCGCUGGGUGGUGGUGCAUGGCCGUUCUUGGCUCGUGCGUUGAC
rnacentral:rRNA from 1 species